ACGCACGCUGGCGGCGUGCUUAACACAUGCAAGUCGAACGGUAAGGCCCUUUCGGGGGUACCCGAGUGGCGAACGGGUGAGUAACACGUGGGUGAUCUGCCCUGCACUUUGGGAUAAGCCUGGGAAACUGGGUCUAAUACCGGAUAGGACUACGCGAUGCAUGUCGUGUGGUGGAAAGCUUUUGCGGUGUGGGAUGGGCCCGCGGCCUAUCAGCUUGUUGGUGGGGUGAUGGCCUACCAAGGCGACGACGGGUAGCCGGCCUGAGAGGGUGUCCGGCCACACUGGGACUGAGAUACGGCCCAGACUCCUACGGGAGGCAGCAGUGGGGAAUAUUGCACAAUGGGCGCAAGCCUGAUGCAGCGACGCCGCGUGGGGGAUGACGGCCUUCGGGUUGUAAACCCCUUUCAGCACAGACGAAGCGUAAGUGACGGUAUGUGCAGAAGAAGCACCGGCCAACUACGUG
rnacentral:rRNA from 1 species